GCACAGGUGCUGCAUGGCUGUCGUCAGCUCGUGUCGUGAGAUGUUCGGUUAAGUCGCUAACGAGCGCAACCCUCGUCGUGUGUUACAAGUGUCACGCGAGACCGCCGGUCAUAAACCGGAGGAAGGUGGGGAUGACGUCAAGUCAGCAUGGCCUUUAUGUCCUGGGCUACACACACGCUACAAUGGCCAGUACAAUUGGUAGCUAAGCCGCGAGGUGGAGCCAAUCCGUAAAAGCUGGCCUCAGUUCAGAUUGUAGGCUGCAACCCACCUGCAUGAAGAUGGAGUUGCUAGUAACCGCAGGUCAGCAAUACUGCGGUGAAUACGUUCCCGGGUCUUU
rnacentral:rRNA from 1 species